rnacentral:lncRNA from 1 species
CCGAACUCGCUACAAACAGGAACCCGGGAUCUGAGCGGAGCUUCAGUAACAGCAGCGCAGCGCGAGUUACUGAAUUAUAUUCAGCACAUUUUCACGGUAGAGAUUAUUUCAUGGACAUCACUAAGGGCAGUCUGGAGGAGAUCUCUCGGCCAGCCUCCAGUGAGCGCUCUCGACCGGGCAGCCGUGUGUCCAGCAUAUCUCUCUCUGAACUGGGAAGAGUGAGUGUGGAGAGCCCGGGGUCUCUGGAGGUUCUGAGCACAGAAACUCCAUCAACACAGGCAGACAGUGGAAUUGAGAAGGAUGAGGAUUUAGACUGCCCUUCAGAAAACUCAGCCCCCGGUCAGGGUAAGUGAUUAACUGUGGAUCACCCUGACCCUUUUUGUGACAUUUGUAUUUUCUAAAACAAUAAAAAGAUAA